UACGUAGGGUGCGAGCGUUGUCCGGAAUUAUUGGGCGUAAAGAGCUCGUAGGCGGUCUGUCGCGUCUGCUGUGAAAACCCGAGGCUCAACCUCGGGCCUGCAGUGGGUACGGGCAGACUAGAGUUCGGCAGGGGAGACUGGAAUUCCUGGUGUAGCGGUGAAAUGCGCAGAUAUCAGGAGGAACACCGGUGGCGAAGGCGGGUCUCUGGGCC
rnacentral:rRNA from 1 species